AAAGAGGGCCCCAUCAGACAAGAUCUUGGUGGAUGGAUCCGUCUAUAAAACGUGGCUGAUGAAAUACAUGCCCUUGCCUCACUCCACACCUCCUGUGGGCAUCUGAAAGCAAGGCAAACGAGAGACAGCGCAAAAAGAAAUGUGAAACACUUCAAUGGUUCAGAUGUUUGGUUUACCCAAACUGCAAUGAGUGCAUUCAGCUCUUGCCUGAACUGCAUGCUCAUACUGCCCUCCAGUGUUGACAGGGUGAACAUAGUGAGAAAUAAACAAAGAGGUCGCAAUGGGAGCAACAACUGUUCAAUAUAAACCAAUUCAAUCUAACAACUCUGGAAUAAACAGUCCUUUUUUGAAGCAAA